rnacentral:lncRNA from 1 species
GCUAUACCAAGUCAGGAGCUUGUAAUUCAGUGGUUGUCAUUGUUAUGUGGCUAUACCAAGUCAGGAGCUUGUAAUUCAGUGGUUGUCAUUGUUAUGUGGCUAUACCAAGUCAGGAGCUUGUAAUUCAGUGAUUGUCAUUGUUAUGUGGCUAUACCAAGUCAGGAGCUUGUAAUUCAGUGGUUGUCAUUGGUUCAUGUCUGUCAUAUUUGUUUUUCAUAAUUCAUAUUGUAUAAAUAAAGCCUAGGUCAUGUAGGUUCACAUUUUUCAUGUCAGGGCAUAUACUAGCUGUCUACAUAGUAUGUUAUUUCAAGAUUAAUUCUAUCUCUGGAAUAAAUACAUUUAAACGAAGAAUUCCAUCAUUUAUUGUAGGAUAACACUUUAAAAACAAGAA